UAGCUUUAAGAUUUAUUUAAAGUUCUACCUGCCCGGUGAAACUUUUAACGGCCGCAGUACUUUGACUGUGCUAAGGUAGCAUAAUAAAUUGGCUUUUAAUUAAAGUCGGGUAUGAAAGGAAUCUCGGAAAGCAACUGUCUUAAAUUUAUAUUAUUUUAAAUUAUUUAAUGAGUGAAAAUCCUCAUAAACUUUUACAUUAGACGAGAAGACCCUUAGAGUUAUAAUUAAAAUGAAUUUUUUUUCAUAUUUCAUUUUUGUUGGGGCAACAAAGACUGGAUAUAACCGUCAUAAGAUUAUUUUACAUAACCAAUAUGUUUAGAAAGAAAUAAACUACCUUAGGGAUAACAGCAUAAUUAAUUUUUAGAUUGUGACCUCGAUGUUGGAUUAAGGACUUUAUUUACUAGCCGUAGAUAAAGAUAGUUCUGUUCGAACUGUGUUACCUU
rnacentral:rRNA from 1 species